rnacentral:rRNA from 1 species
AAUGAACGCUGGCGGCAGGCCUAACACAUGCAAGUCGAGCGGAUGAAGGGGGCUUGCUCCUGGAUUCAGCGGCGGACGGGUGAGUAAUGCCCAGGAAUCUGGCUGGAAGUGGGGGAUAACGUCCGGAAACGGGCGCUAAUACCGCAUCCGAACCGAGGGAGAACGUGGGGGAGCUUCGGACCUCACGCCAUCAGAUGAGGCUAGGUCGGAUUAGCUAGGUGGUGGGGUAAAGGCCUACCAAGGCGGGGAUCCGUAACUGGUCUGAGAGGAUGACCGGACACACUGUGACAGAGGGACGGUCCAGACUCCUACGGGAAGAAGCAGUAGGGAAUAUUGGGCGAUGGGCGAGAGCCUGAUCCAGCAAUGCGGGGUAUGUGAAGAAGGUCUUCGGACGGGAAAGCACUUUAAGUUGGGGGGAAGGACAGUAAGUUAAGACGUUGCUGUAAUGACGUUACCAGGAGAAUAAGCACCGGCUAACUUCGUG